GCUCAUCCUAAUCUCAGUCGAGAUUACUGCCUUAGCCCUGUCCUAUCAUCUGUAUAAUGGAGUUCGU
rnacentral:tRNA from 1 species